rnacentral:lncRNA from 1 species
AUACGCUAUUUCAGUCUUUAAAACUUCCUCUGUAAGAAUCCAGUGUUUCUAAAUAUCAAUGGAUACAAAUAAAUAGAAGUUUUAAAGUUUAACUCUCCCUUCCCUUCUCUCCCAGGUGGCUGUGUCAGUGCAGGGGAAAAGGAACACUAGAAGGAUCCAAGUGGAAAUGACAUAGAAGAUAAUGACACUCCCAUGAAGUGGUGAAGCUAUAGCCACCACCUGUCCCUGUUGAUUAAAGAGCUCCACCUGCCUAGGCACAGCAUCCUCAGCUAGGAUUGGGGGUAGGCCACUGGGCUAGGACAAAACUUUGCAGGACUGACACGUUAUAGGCCCCCAUGUAGUAUAUACUAGAUGUGCUGCAACAGGAACCCAGAAUCCACCUGCACCCACCUCAAUAUGAAUAGCACGUGUUGCCAACAUCUGCUUUGGCUCUUGCCUUGUUGGCUUUAAUGUUCAUCCCAUCUUCCAUCUUCAUUCUCAGUGCAUCUGCGUAAGCCUCAUUGAAGUUAGCCAAGUCCAGGACCGUAGAAGCACAUAUGGGUUAAAUAAUCCCCUCACAUUCCAAUCCCAGCCUUCCUUUCGCCUAAAGCUUCUCCAUCCCUAAUUCACUGCAAAGUACUAACCUCUAACUCACGGAGGCUCAGAACUCACCUUCUGGGGAUCUCCUUAUGGCCUCACUCCCUGGCUGUUAUUGACAACCAGCCCCAGUGGAAAGCCAGAGCACUCUGUGGCCAGAAUGAGUUUUUUAAAUUUGC